GGGCGUAAAGAGCUCGUAGGCGGCUCAGUUAGUCGGGUGUGAAAACUCAGGGCUUAACCCUGAGACGCCACUCGAUACUGCUGGGCUAGAAUUCGGUAGGGGAGUGGGGAAUUCCUGGUGUAGCGGUGAAAUGCGCAGAUAUCAGGAGGAACACCGGUGGCGAAGGCGCCACUCUGGGCCGACAUUGACGCUGAGGAGCGAAAGCGUGGGUAGCAAACAGGAUUAGAUACCCUGGUAGUCCACGCCGUAAACGGUGGGCACUAGGUGUGGGUUCCAACCAACGGAAUCCGUGCCGUCGCAAACGCAUUAAGUGCCCCGCCUGGGGAGUACGGCCGCAAGGUUAAAACUCAAAGGAAUUGACGGGGCCCCGCACAAGCAGCGGAGCGUGUUGCUUAAUUCGAUGCAACGCGAAGAACCUUACCUGGGCUUGACAUGCAGAGAAAAGCAGUAGAGAUACUGUGUCCUUCGGGGCUUUGCACAGGUGGUGCAUGGCUGUCGUCAGCUCGUGUCGUGAGAUGUUGGGUUAAGUCCCGCAACGAGCGCAACCCUCGUCCUAUGUUGCCAGCGGGUAAUGCCGGGGACUCGUAGGAGACUGCCGGGGUCAACUCGGAGGAAGGUAAU
rnacentral:rRNA from 1 species